GUUUCUGGUUGCGGGACAUCACCGUGUUGUUGUGUUUUGUCGAGUGAAAACUGCGGUUCUGGUCCUGCUGGGCUCCAAGUCUGAGCUUCUGCUGCAGCCACAGCAUCUUCUCCAUCCGCAUCCUGAGAGUGGAGGACGGCGAGCCGCCACCAGUCCACGCCGUCAGCGCGUUGUGUCUGUGCGACCUGGCAGGCUCUGAGCGCAGCUCCAGGACCCAGAACAAAGGAGAGGACCUGAAGGAGGCUGGAAACAUCAACGCCUCGCUGCUCAUUCUGGGCAAAUGCAUCAAGGCUCUGCAGCACAACCAGCACACCAGGUGGAGGUUGUGAUCUCCAGGCUCCUCCCCGUCGUUCCUCCUGCUUCCUGCAGCAGGAAGACGUUGCAGAGCAGCAGCAGCUCCCUGACCGGCUGGGAAGCCAGUCUGGAAGACCUUCAGCAGGGUGAAGACCAAGACUCCAGUCUGAUGGAGGACAGCAUGGAGGAGACGGCUGACAAGGUGAAGAAGUCGUCAUUAAUAAGAGGCUUCACCAGGUCAGUGGUUUUAGCUGCUCCACAUUUCUCCUGACAUGAAUCCACCUGCUGGGUUUCCUGCUGGAGGCGGCGCCACGUUUACCUUCAUUCUGACGUCAGAACCGCAGCUUCGUCCCUC